rnacentral:rRNA from 1 species
ACGGGGCCCGCACAAGCGGUGGAGCAUGUGGUUUAAUUCGAUGCAACGCGAAGAACCUUACCUGGGCUUGACAUCCCAAGAAUCCCCUGGAAACAGGGGAGUGCCUUCGGGAGGCUUGGAGACAGGUGCUGCAUGGCUGUCGUCAGCUCGUGUCGUGAGAUGUUGGUUAAGUCCCGCAACGAGCGCAACCCUAUUGUUAGUUGCCAUCAUUCAGUUGGGCACUCUAGCGAGACUGCCGGUAAUAAACCGGAGGAAGGUGGGGAUGACGUCAAAUCAUCAUGCCCCUUAUGACCUGGGCUACACACGUGCUACAAUGGUUGGUACAACGAGUUGCGAGUCGGUGACGGCGAGCUAAUCUCUUAAAGCCAAUCUCAGUUCGGAUUGUAGGCUGCAACUCGCCUACAUGAAGUCGGAAUCGCUAGUAAUCGCGGAUCAGCACGCCGCGGUCGAAUACGUUCCCGGGCCUU